AGUACGUGAAACCGUUCAGGGGUAAACCUGAGAAACCCAAAAGAUCGAAAGGGGAGAUUCAUCGUCAGCGCAUUUUGUAUAUGUAUCAAGUUAUGAUACAGGUUACUCUUGUAGUAUUGCCUUGUACAUAUUUGUGCAUUUAGUUGCAAAAUGUUGUCGGCGUGCACUUCUCCCCUAGUAGAACAUCGCGACUCGUUGAGUCUAUUGUUGUUGGUUUACGACCAGAGUGGAAGCCUUUAAUUAUCUGCAUUGUAGAUAUUUAAAGACCCUUUGUGUUUUCUAACCAGCUACUCGGCGAUAAAUUUUAUGGUAUUGAGCCGCAUUUAUAUUAAUGUGCGUCCAUAUCCGUCGCAAGCGAGGCCAGGAAAAUUAAUUUUUGGUAGUACGGACCCAGUGCCGUCGCUGAAUCUGGCCAGCUGUUGGCUGUACGGUAAUCUAGGACUGGCUUAAUUAAUACCUGUCAGCGAUGCUAUUGCUUUGGGUACUUUCAGGACCCGUCUUGAAACACGGACCAAGGAGUCUAACAUGUGCGCAAGUCAUUGGGAUUUUUUUGUUAAAUUAAACCUAAAGGCGUAAUGAAAGUAAAGAUCGACCUUGCGUCGAUUAAGGGAGGAUGAGUUGUUAUAGUAAAAUAUGCAACUUCGCACUCCCGGGGCGUCUCAUUCUCAUUACGAGAAGAGGCGCACCUAG
rnacentral:rRNA from 1 species